AAGUCGUAACAAGGUUUCCGUAGGUGAACCUGCGGAAGGAUCAUUAAAGAGAUCAUGCCCUCACGGGUAGACCUCCCACCCUUUGUUUACAAUACCUUUGUUGCUUUGGCGGGCCCGUCUCAUGACCACUGGCUUUAGCUGGUCUGUGCCCGCCAGAGAACCCCUAAUACUCUUUAUUAUGUCGUCUGAGUACUAUAAAAAUUAGUUAAAACUUUCAACAACGGAUCUCUUGGUUCUG
rnacentral:misc_RNA from 1 species